ACGUCGCUGCCAUCCUUUCCGGCACUGGUUUGGAAAUACUUGUUCUUCUCCAUGCCGCUAACAUGACAAAGGACGGUACGAGCUAACAUGUUUAUCGUCGAGAACACGUGUUUCUACAGACGUGACAGGAGAUUACGGCAUCGCAUUGCAAAAAAAGGUAAAGCUCAGCUCGUUAUUUUCGUUGCUCAACUUACACGGUAAGUAUCAAUUUAAAGAUCGAUUGUGACAAAUCCCCGAUAUAAUAAUGGCUUACGAAUGAUAAUGACAGCGAUCAGACGAGAGAAAGCAAUAGAUAUAAAGUAUAUCCCAAAA